AUUGAACGCUGGCGGCAGGCCUAACACAUGCAAGUCGAGCGGAGGAAGGGAGCUUGCUCCUGGAUUCAGCGGCGGACGGGUGAGUAAUGCCUAGGAAUCUGCCUGGUAGUGGGGGAUAACGUCCGGAAACGGGCGCUAAUACCGCAUACGUCCUGAGGGAGAAAGUGGGGGAUCUUCGGACCUCACGCUAUCAGAUGAGCCUAGGUCGGAUUAGCUAGUUGGUGGGGUAAAGGCCUACCAAGGCGACGAUCCGUAACUGGUCUGAGAGGAUGAUCAGUCACACUGGAACUGAGACACGGUCCAGACUCCUACGGGAGGCAGCAGUGGGGAAUAUUGGACGAUAGGCGAAAGCCUGAUCCAGCCAUGCCGCGUGUGUGAAGAAGGUCUUCGGAUUGUAAAGCACUUUAAGUUGGGAGGAAGGGCAGUAAGUUAAUACCUUGCUGUUUUGACGUUACCAACAGAAUAAGCACCGGCUAACUUCGUG
rnacentral:rRNA from 1 species